AACUGUUUUGGGAAAGCAGGCCAGAGGGAGUGAAAGCCUCGUAAGCGAAAUCGGAAGACAGCGAGCAGGAUCCAGAGUACCACGGGACACGAGAAACCAUGUGGGAAGCCGGGGGGACCACCCCCCAAGCCUAAAUACUAACCGGUGACCGAUAGUGGAGAAGUACUGUGAAGGAAAGGUGAAAAGUACCCCUGACGGGGAGUGAAAAAGAACCUGAAACCUUGUGUUUACAAGCACCGAAAGCUCAUCAAAGAGCGAUCGGGUACCUUUUGUAGAAUGGUCCGGCGAGUGAAUGUAACCGGCGAGGUUAAGCACUUAAGGUGUGAAGCCGCAGCGAGAGCAAGUCUGAAUAGGGCGUAUGAAGUCGGUUGUAUUCGACCCGAAACCGGGUGACCUACCCAUGGUCAGGUUGAAGUGGAAGUAAAAUUCCAUGGAGGACCGAACCGACCUCCGUUGAAAAGGCGGCGGAUGAACUGUGGGUAGCGGAGAAAUUCCAAUCGAACCCGGAGAUAGCUGGUUCUCCCCGAAAUAGUUUUAGGACUAGCCUCAAGUUAGAUACCUGGAGGUAAAGCACUGAAUAGCCUAGCGGCCGAGAGGUUAGCGAAGCUUAUCAAACUCAGAAUGCCAGAGUAUUGAUGCUUGGGAGUCAGACAGUGUCAGAUAAAUGUCAUUGUCAAAAGGGAAACAGCCCAGAUCUACAGCUAAGGUCCCAAAGUCAGGUUAAGUGGAAAACGAUGUGAAGAUACGCAGACAACCAGGAUGUUGGCUCAGAAGCAGCCACUCAUUCAAAGAGUGCGUAAUAGCUCACUGGUCGAGCGUCUUUGCGCGGAGAAUUUAACGGGGCUAAACCUGACACCGAAGCUUAGGCAGCAUGUUUACAUGCUGGGUAGGGGAGCGUUGUAUACGCGGUGAAACAGUAGCGCAAGCGGCUGUGGAGUGUAUAGAAGUGAGAAUGCCGGAAUGAGUAGCGCGAAUGCAGUGAGAAUCUGCAUGGCCGAAAGCCUCAGGUUUCUGGAGGAAGGUUCGUCCGCUCCAGGUUAGUCGGGAGCUAAGGUGAGGCCUAACGGCGUAGCCGAUGCACAGACGGUAGAGAUUCCGUCACCACCAAAAGAGUUAAACACAGGGACACAUUUGAAGUCUCAGAGCCGGGUGUUGGUUCCGGUAGAGAUCGAGGGAAGUUAGUACCGAAGUCUGAGAUGGAAGAUGGCGAGAAAAGCUGUGUGUAUUUCUGAGGUGCCCGUACCGCAAACCGACACAGGUAGGUAGGAAGAAGAUUCUAAGGCCAACGGGAGAAGGGUUGUUAAGGAACUCGGCAAAUUGACCCCGUAACUUCGGGAGAAGGGGUGCUCCAGAGAUGGAGCCGCAGAGAAUCGGCCCAAGCAACUGUUUACCAAAAACACAGGUUUGUGCUAAAUCGAAAGAUGACGUAUACGAGCUGACGCCUGCCCGGUGCUGGAAGGUUAAGAGGAGAUGUGCAAGCAUUGAAUCGAAGCCCCAGUGAACGGCGGCCGUAACUAUAACGGUCCUAAGGUAGCGAAAUUCCUUGUCAGGUAAGUUCUGACCCGCACGAAAGGCGUAAUGAUUUGG
rnacentral:rRNA from 1 species